CAACUAAAAAUCUUUUCUCCUUUUAUGUGGUCAUUCCAGGUUUUCCAAGCACCUGCCAUGGUGUACAGUAUCUCCUCUCCUUGCAAGAAUGGAGUGCAGCAGCACAAAGUUUUUCUUUCAGUGCCACUGAACUGAGGUGGGGUGUGGGAACACUUAAUGGAGCCACUCAUCCACAGAAAAACUGCUAAAAUGCAGGAGAGCAAAGAAUGGGGCUGGCAAAGGACACCUGCUGAGAAAAGUGCUAGAUGGAGAGGGGACAUCAGUCCCUGAGCACAGGUCCAGAACCUGUUCUGCCCGCGAUGCACAACAACACAAAAUGUAGACCUUCAAGACUGCAGGCCCUGGUCCUCCCCUGCAUGCACCUCCUACCCCCCCAGAAAGGCAGAAAUGAGUACGUAGAGCACUAACUGGUGAAGGUAAUGCAUUGGAAAAAAAGAAAACCAGCAAUUCAUUUUUCUUAAAAAUCAAUUUAUGUGACUGUUAUUUAGGGCUGAGAAGCAGAAUUAUAUUCAGAAGGUAUCUGUGGGUUGGUGGAUUUCCAGGAAUCCACAUCAAAUCCCCUGGCUUUAGAAGAACACAGCGAGGUGAGCCUGAUACAGGUGCCCUUCUCAAACAGAUUUGGAGAGAGCAAAAAAAAAAAAAAAAAUUGCUGACCUUCAGUCACAUGGUGACUACAAAAGAGGCUGGAAAGGGAAUCCGUUUGCUAUGGAAACUCAAGAAAAAUGCAAAGUUCACAUGGAAGUUUAUAGAUGGAGAAACAGUAACCUACAUGCUAACAUCUCAAAAAGGCCACUUGAAAGGUUAUGCUCUCCAAAGAAAUACAGGAAAAGGGAAUAUAUUAACAGCAGUUAGAACAGCAAAAAAAAUCCAAGAGUUGCUCAUUGAAUGUUUUCCUACAAAAUGUGAUUUAUUUGCAUAAGCAUAUUAUUCACCCAUCUUCACUUCCUCUUGCUUACCAGCUAUGCUCAAAUAAUUCUUUCCAAAGCUCACCACAGUGAAAAAACUGUUUUUCAUCUGUUGCAAAAAGUUUUUGCAUGCUUGUCUU